GGUUAAGCGACUAAGCGUACACGGUGGAUGCCCUGGCAGUCAGAGGCGAUGAAGGACGUGCUAAUCUGCGAUAAGCGUCGGUAAGGUGAUAUGAACCGUUAUAACCGGCGAUUUCCGAAUGGGGAAACCCAGUGUGUUUCGACACACUAUCAUUAACUGAAUCCAUAGGUUAAUGAGGCGAACCGGGGGAACUGAAACAUCUAAGUACCCCGAGGAAAAGAAAUCAACCGAGAUUCCCCCAGUAGCGGCGAGCGAACGGGGAGGAGCCCAGAGCCUGAAUCAGUGUGUGUGUUAGUGGAAGCGUCUGGAAAGGCGCGCGAUACAGGGUGACAGCCCCGUACACAAAAAAUACACAUAUUGUGAGCUCGAUGAGUAGGGCGGGACACGUGGUAUCCUGUCUGAAUAUGGGGGCCCAUCCUCCAAGGCUAAAUACUCCUGACUGACCGAUAGUGAACCAGUACCGUGAGGGAAAGGCGAAAAGAACCCCGGCGAGGGGAGUGAAAAAGAACCUGAAACCGUGUACGUACAAGCAGUGGGAGCACGCUUAGGCGUGUGACUGCGUACCUUUUGUAUAAUGGGUCAGCGACUUAUAUUCUGUAGCAAGGUUAACCGAAUAGGGGAGCCGAAGGGAAACCGAGUCUUAACUGGGCGUUAAGUUGCAGGGUAUAGACCCGAAACCCGGUGAUCUAGCCAUGGGCAGGUUGAAGGUUGGGUAACACUAACUGGAGGACCGAACCGACUAAUGUUGAAAAAUUAGCGGAUGACUUGUGGCUGGGGGUGAAAGGCCAAUCAAACCGGGAGAUAGCUGGUUCUCCCCGAAAGCUAUUUAGGUAGCGCCUCGUGAAUUCAUCUCCGGGGGUAGAGCACUGUUUCGGCAAGGGGGUCAUCCCGACUUACCAACCCGAUGCAAACUGCGAAUACCGGAGAAUGUUAUCACGGGAGACACACGGCGGGUGCUAACGUCCGUCGUGAAGAGGGAAACAACCCAGACCGCCAGCUAAGGUCCCAAAGUCAUGGUUAAGUGGGAAACGAUGUGGGAAGGCCCAGACAGCCAGGAUGUUGGCUUAGAAGCAGCCAUCAUUUAAAGAAAGCGUAAUAGCUCACUGGUCGAGUCGGCCUGCGCGGAAGAUGUAACGGGGCUAAACCAUGCACCGAAGCUGCGGCAGCGACGCUUAUGCGUUGUUGGGUAGGGGAGCGUUCUGUAAGCCUGCGAAGGUGUGCUGUGAGGCAUGCUGGAGGUAUCAGAAGUGCGAAUGCUGACAUAAGUAACGAUAAAGCGGGUGAAAAGCCCGCUCGCCGGAAGACCAAGGGUUCCUGUCCAACGUUAAUCGGGGCAGGGUGAGUCGACCCCUAAGGCGAGGCCGAAAGGCGUAGUCGAUGGGAAACAGGUUAAUAUUCCUGUACUUGGUGUUACUGCGAAGGGGGGGACGGAGAAGGCUAUGUUGGCCGGGCGACGGUUGUCCCGGUUUAAGCGUGUAGGCUGGUUUUCCAGGCAAAUCCGGAAAAUCAAGGCUGAGGCGUGAUGACGAGGCACUACGGUGCUGAAGCAACAAAUGCCCUGCUUCCAGGAAAAGCCUCUAAGCAUCAGGUAACAUCAAAUCGUACCCCAAACCGACACAGGUGGUCAGGUAGAGAAUACCAAGGCGCUUGAGAGAACUCGGGUGAAGGAACUAGGCAAAAUGGUGCCGUAACUUCGGGAGAAGGCACGCUGAUAUGUAGGUGAAGUCCCUUGCGGAUGGAGCUGAAAUCAGUCGAAGAUACCAGCUGGCUGCAACUGUUUAUUAAAAACACAGCACUGUGCAAACACGAAAGUGGACGUAUACGGUGUGACGCCUGCCCGGUGCCGGAAGGUUAAUUGAUGGGGUCAGCGCAAGCGAAGCUCUUGAUCGAAGCCCCGGUAAACGGCGGCCGUAACUAUAACGGUCCUAAGGUAGCGAAAUUCCUUGUCGGGUAAGUUCCGACCUGCACGAAUGGCGUAAUGAUGGCCAGGCUGUCUCCACCCGAGACUCAGUGAAAUUGAACUCGCUGUGAAGAUGCAGUGUACCCGCGGCAAGACGGAAAGACCCCGUGAACCUUUACUAUAGCUUGACACUGAACAUUGAGCCUUGAUGUGUAGGAUAGGUGGGAGGCUUUGAAGUGUGGACGCCAGUCUGCAUGGAGCCGGCCUUGAAAUACCACCCUUUAAUGUUUGAUGUUCUAACGUGGACCCGUGAUCCGGGUUGCGGACAGUGUCUGGUGGGUAGUUUGACUGGGGCGGUCUCCUCCUAAAGAGUAACGGAGGAGCACGAAGGUUGGCUAAUCCUGGUCGGACAUCAGGAGGUUAGUGCAAUGGCAUAAGCCAGCUUGACUGCGAGCGUGACGGCGCGAGCAGGUGCGAAAAGCAGGUCAUAGUGAUCCGGUGGUUCUGAAUGGAAGGGCCAUCGCUCAACGGAUAAAAGGUACUCCGGGGAUAACAGGCUGAUACCGCCCAAGAGUUCAUAUCGACGGCGGUGUUUGGCACCUCGAUGUCGGCUCAUCACAUCCUGGGGCUGAAGUAGGUCCCAAGGGUAUGGCUGUUCGCCAUUUAAAGUGGUACGCGAGCUGGGUUUAGAACGUCGUGAGACAGUUCGGUCCCUAUCUGCCGUGGGCGCUGGAGAACUGAGGGGGCUGCUCCUAGUACGAGAGGACCGGAGUGGACGCAUCACUGGUGUUCGGGUUGUCAUGCCAAUGGCACUGCCCGGUAGCUAAAUGCGGAAGAGAUAAGUGCUGAAAGCAUCUAAGCACGAAACUUGCCCCGAGAUGAGUUCUCCCUGACCCUUUAAGGGUCCUGAAGGAACGUUGAAGACGACGACGUUGAUAGGCCGGGUGUGUAAGCGCAGCGAUGCGUUGAGCUAACCGGUACUAAUGAACCGUGAGGCUUAACCUU
rnacentral:rRNA from 1 species